rnacentral:tRNA from 1 species
GGGGAUGUGGCUCAGCGGUAGAGUGCUCAACUAGCAUAUAUGAGGCCCUGAGUUCUAUCCUCAGCACUGCA